rnacentral:rRNA from 1 species
GAUGAACGCUGGCGGCGUGCCUAAUACAUGCAAGUCGAGCGAACAGAUAAGGAGCUUGCUCCUUUGAAGUUAGCGGCGGACGGGUGAGUAACACGUGGGUAACCUACCUAUAAGACUGGGAUAACUUCGGGAAACCGGAGCUAAUACCGGAUAACAUUUAGAACCGCAUGGUUCUAAAGUGAAAGAUGGUUUUGCUAUCACUUAUAGAUGGACCCGCGCCGUAUUAGCUAGUUGGUAAGGUAACGGCUUACCAAGGCGACGAUACGUAGCCGACCUGAGAGGGUGAUCGGCCACACUGGAACUGAGACACGGUCCAGACUCCUACGGGAGGCAGCAGUAGGGAAUCUUCCGCAAUGGGCGAAAGCCUGACGGAGCAACGCCGCGUGAGUGAUGAAGGGUUUCGGCUCGUAAAACUCUGUUAUUAGGGAAGAACAAAUGUGUAAGUAACUGUGCACAUCUUGACGGUACCUAAUCAGAAAGCCACGGCUAACUACGUGCCAGCAGCCGCGGUAAUACGUAGGUGGCAAGCGUUAUCCGGAAUUAUUGGGCGUAAAGCGCGCGUAGGCGGUUUCUUAAGUCUGAUGUGAAAGCCCACGGCUCAACCGUGGAGGGUCAUUGGAAACUGGGAAACUUGAGUGCAGAAGAGGAAAGUGGAAUUCCAUGUGUAGCGGUGAGAUGCGCAGAGAUAUGGAGGAACACCAGUGGCGAAGGCGACUUUCUGGUCUGUAACUGACGCUGAUGUGCGAAAGCGUGGGGAUCAAACAGGAUUAGAUACCCUGGUAGUCCACGCCGUAAACGAUGAGUGCUAAGUGUUAGGGGGGUUUCCGCCCCUUAGUGCUGCAGCUAACGCAUUAAGCACUCCGCCUGGGGAGUACGACCGCAAGGUUGAAACUCAAAGGAAUUGACGGGGACCCGCACAAGCGGUGGAGCAUGUGGUUUAAUUCGAAGCAACGCGAAGAACCUUACCAAAUCUUGACAUCCUUUGAAAACUCUAGAGAUAGAGCCUUCCCCUUCGGGGGACAAAGUGACAGGUGGUGCAUGGUUGUCGUCAGCUCGUGUCGUGAGAUGUUGGGUUAAGUCCCGCAACGAGCGCAACCCUUAAGCUUAGUUGCCAUCAUUAAGUUGGGCACUCUAGGUUGACUGCCGGUGACAAACCGGAGGAAGGUGGGGAUGACGUCAAAUCAUCAUGCCCCUUAUGAUUUGGGCUACACACGUGCUACAAUGGACAAUACAAAGGGCAGCUAAACCGCGAGGUCAUGCAAAUCCCAUAAAGUUGUUCUCAGUUCGGAUUGUAGUCUGCAACUCGACUACAUGAAGCUGGAAUCGCUAGUAAUCGUAGAUCAGCAUGCUACGGUGAAUACGUUCCCGGGUCU